rnacentral:rRNA from 1 species
UUAAGCAUAUCAAUAAGCGGAGGAAAAGAAACUAACAAGGAUUCCCCUAGUAACUGCGAGUGAAGCGGGAAAAGCUCAAAUUUAAAAUCUGGUGGUCUUUGGCCAUCCGAGUUGUAAUUUAGAGAAGCGUUUUCUGCGCUGGGCCAUGCACAAGUCUCCUGGAAUGGAGCGUCAUAGAGGGUGAGAAUCCCGUCUUUGGCAUGGAUAUAACCAGGGCUUUUGUGAUGCGCUCUCAAAGAGUCGAGUUGUUUGGGAAUGCAGCUCAAAAUGGGUGGUGAACUCCAUCUAAAGCUAAAUAUUGGCGAGAGACCGAUAGCGAACAAGUACCGUGAGGGAAAGAUGAAAAGCACUUUGGAAAGAGAGUGAAACAGUACGUGAAAUUGUUGAAAGGGAAACGCUUAAAGUCAGUCGCGUUGUCCAAGACUCAGCCUUGCCUUGGCUUGGUGUAUUUCUUGGUCGACGGGUCAGCAUCGAUUUUGACCCUUGGAUAAUGGUGAGGGAAAUGUGACACCUUUUAGGUGUGUUAUAGUCUCUUGUCACAUGUGAGGGUUAGGAUCGAGGAACUCAGCAUGCACUUUUUGGGUGUCGGGACUUUUGUCCACGAUACAUGCUUAGGAUGUUGGCGUAAUGGCUUUAAACGACCCGUCUUGAAAACACGGA